CGCCGCUAAGAAUCGAUAGAGAUUGAACGGCGCCAUUUUGUGCGUUGAGCGUCGGGGCGUCGGGUCGUUGCGUCGAGUGCUUUUCAUGUUAUGACAGAAUCCCAGUUCCCGGAUUGAUUGAGCGGUUUUCCAUCGAAGUGCGAAGGCGGACUUAGGUUGAUAAGACUGAUCUCCGAGCGGCUACCAAACAUGGGUUCCUCUCAGCAAUUCUCGUUGCGCUGGAACAAUUAUUUGCGCCAUAUAACCAGUGCUUUUGACUCAUUAAGAUCAGAUUUAGACCUUGUUGAUGUGACAUUGAGUUGUGAAGGUAAAAAAAUUAAGGCCCAUAAAAUGCUGUUAUCAGCAUGUAGCACUUAUUUCAAAGAUUUAUUUAAGGAGAACCCAUGCCAACACCCUGUGAUAAUUUUUCGUAAUGUUAAGUUUGCCGAUUUGGAGGCAUUGAUAGACUUUAUUUAUCAAGGUGAAGUUAAUGUUGUUCAAGAACAGUUAGCAUCUUUUCUUACUACAGCUGAAUUGUUAGCUGUUCAAGGACUGACAGAUGGUGCUGGACAAGACCUAGCUGAAACUUUAAACGAAGAAAAUAUAGACUCUAAUGUCGACACCAUUAGUGAAGAGGCUCUACCUGUAGAAAAUAAGCGCACUAGCAGUAAUACAAAUAGUCAUUUGUUUACUCCACCAAAUCAAAAUCCUUCCUCACCGCCCCUGAAGCGCAAGAAGUGGAGUGCACCUGUUCAGCCAAACAGCAAUCUAAAAAGAACAGACAUCACUGAACCUAGAAGGCUACCUCAACCUAGUUCAAGCAAUAAUACAGUAGAUUUAAUACCUGUCAUGUCACAAGUCAAAGUAGAAAUGCCUGAAUUUUUGGACGCCGAAUCUGGUCAAAUUAAUUAUAAUAAUGCGGAGCAAGAAGAAAACACAUUAGAAGAAUUAGACAACUUAGAACACAGUAUUCCUUCGGCAUCUGCCGGUAAAGAAGAGGCAAUGGAUGUAUUUGGUGCUGGUGCAGGUGAUGGAGGAGAAUUAACUGGAGAACCAAUGACACCUGCCGAACUAAGUCAAGUCCUGGGCAAAGCUGGUCCAUCAAGUGAAGGCUCACAGGAUUCCUUGCAGGUGCCCGAGGCGGACGGGGCCGCACAACUCCCUUGGUCCCAGCCCCUCCUGCAGCCCCUGCAGCCCCUGCAGGCCGUGCCGGCGCGGCGCCAGCCCUCGGCCCAGUCCGCGGCCCAGCCCGACCUGCCGCACACGUGCGACCUCUGCGGCAAGAGCUUCCGCAUCCGCGACUCGCUGUACAAGCACCGCAACGUGCACCGCGGCAACACCACCUGCCCCAUCUGCCGCGUGGUGCUGAACCGCAAGACCUACCUGCGCCGCCACCUGGUGGCCGUGCACGGCGUCGACCUGUCCGGCAAGGUGUCGUGCCCCGUCUGCCAGGAGGAGCUGGGGCCCGGGGAGCGGCUGGAGGACCACGUGCUGGCCGUGCACGCUGAGCUGCCGGGGCCCUAGGCCGCCCCAGGCGCCGCAGCCACGAGAACUCGCAACUUCCCUCCGAGCGGCUGUGGAGCCCUUAGCGCGUGAUGCGGCAUGGUGGUGGUGGGGGGCAGGGCCACUGCCUCAGGGGGCGUCUGUAUGUCCCGUGGACCGUCCAACACCUUGCUCGGUGAACGCCACUGUGAAACUGUCGGCCCGGCCCUCCUAGGCCCUCCGUGGUUGGCCCGCGGGGCACGUCCAGGCCUUGGUGCAGGCCGUGGUGGACGAUGGCCACGAUGGCACUCCGAAGCCGUACCCGUGUGACGAGUGUAGCAAGUCGUUCAACCACUCGAGCUCCCUGGCCAAGCACAAGUA
rnacentral:misc_RNA from 1 species